UGAAUUCUUAAAUAGCCGCAGUACACUGACUGUGCUAAGGUAGCAUAAUAAUUUGGCUUCUAAUUAAAGCCCGGAAUAAACGAGGGGACGAUGUCCCGCCUUUCCCAGCCCUUCAAAAAGAAAUUGAUAUUUGCGUCAAAAAGAGCAACUAUUUGGGGGGACGAUAAGACCCCGUGAAACUUAAUUAAAUAUUAGUUUAUCUAAUCUCGGAUUUUAGAUUAAUUUUUUUUAAUUAAGCUGGGGCGGCAAUUAAUUCACUCUAACAAAAAAAAACACCCUAAAUGAAAAAAUUAGAUCUUUAAAAACAAGUAGAACAAGUUACUCCGGGGAUAACAGCACAAUUUUUCCAAACAGGCCUUAUGGAAGGAAAAGACUUGUGACCUCGAUGUUGAAUUGAAAGACCCGGCAUGAGCAAAAACUUGCCCAGGGGAGUCUGUUCGACAUUUAAUUUUUCACGUGAUCUGAGUUCAAACCGGA
rnacentral:rRNA from 1 species